rnacentral:rRNA from 1 species
AGAGUUUGAUCCUGGCUCAGGACUAACGCUGGCGGUGUGUCUUAGACAUGCAAGUCGAACGGGACUUGGGUAGCAAUACUCGGGUCUAGUGGCGAACGGGUGAUUAAUUCAUGAGUAACGUACCCUGAGGAUGGGCAUAGCUCCGGGAAACCGGAGGUAAUUCCCUGUGUGACGGCUGAGUCGCAUGACAUGGUCGUCAAAGACGGAGCAAUCUGUCGCCUCUUGAGCGGCUCUUGACCUAUCAGCUUGUUGGCGGGGUAACGGCCCACCAAGGCUUUGACGGGUAGUCGGUGUGAGAGCAUGACCGGCCACAAGGGAACUGCGACACGGUCCCUACUCCUACGGGAGGCAGCAGUCUAGAAAAUUGGGCAAUGGGCGCAAGCCUGACCCAGCGACACCGCGUGGAGGAUGAAGUCCUUCGGGAUGUAAACUCCUGUCAGGCGGAACGAUGCUUCGCACGUUAACUGCGUGCGGAGUGACGGUACUGCCAAAGGAAGCCCCGGCUAACUACGUGCCAGCAGCCGCGGUAAUACGUAGGGGGCGAGCGUUGUCCGGAAUUAUUGGGCGUAAAGGGUGUGUAGGCGGUCGAGUAAGUCAGUGGUGAAAGCUCCGGGCUUAACCCGGAAAUUGCCACCGAUACUACUUGACUUGAGGGCAGAAGAGGAGGUCGGAACUUUCGGUGUAGCGGUAGAAUGCGUAGAUAUCGAAAGGAACCCCGAUAGCGAAGGCAGACCUCUGGGAUGUUCCUGACGCUGAAACACGAAAGCUGGGGAAGCAAACAGGAUUAGAUACCCUGGUAGUCCCAGCCCUAAACAAUGUACACUAGGUGUUGCCCUUUCGGGCAGUACUGGAGCCAACGCGUUAAGUGUACCGCCUGGGGACUACGGCCGCAAGGUUGAAACUCAAAGGAAUUGACGGGGACCCGCACAAGCAGUGGAGGAUGUGGUUCAAUUCGAUGCUACGCGAAGAACCUUACCUGGGUUUGACAUGCUGGUGGUAGAAGCCGGAAACGGUGACGACUGGUAGUUUACUAUCGGAGCCAGCACAGGUGCUGCAUGGCUGUCGUCAGCUCGUGCCGUGAGGUGUAUGGUUAAGUCCCGCAACGAGCGCAACCCCUGUUCUUAGUUGCCCACCCGCAAGGGCGCACUCUAAGGACACUGCCCGGGUUAACCGGGAGGAAGGUGGGGAUGACGUCAAGUCAUCAUGGCCUUUAUGCCCAGGGCUACACACGUCCUACAGUGGCCGUUACAAAGGGCUGCCAGUCCGCAAGGACGAGCUAAUCCCAUAAAAGCGGCCAUGGUUCGGAUCGCAGGCUGCAAUUCGCCUGCGUGAAGAUGGAAUUGCUAGUCAUCGCAGAUCAGCAUGCUGCGGUGAAUACGUUCCCGGGUCUUGUACACACCGCCCGUCACGCCAUGGAAGCCAGUAAUGCCUGAAGUCAUACUUCGGUAUGCCCAAGGCAGGACUGGUGACUGGGGCGAAGUCGAAACAAGGUA